CCAGACUCCUACGGGAGGCAGCAGUGGGGGAUAUUGCACAAUGGGGGAAACCCUGAUGCAGCGACGCCGCGUGGGUGAAGAAGCGCCUCGGCGCGUAAAGCCCUGUCAGCAGGGAAGAAAAUGACGGUACCUGUCGAAUAAGCCACGGCUAACUACGUGCCAGCAGCCGCGGUAAUACGUAGGUGGCAAGCGUUGUCCGGAUUUACUGGGUGUAAAGGGCGUGUAGCCGGGCUUACAAGUCAGAUGUGAAAUCCGGGGGCUCAACCCCCGAACUGCAUUUGAAACUGUAGGUCUUGAGUAUCGGAGAGGCAGGCGGAAUUCCUAGUGUAGCGGUGAAAUGCGUAGAUAUUAGGAGGAACACCAGUGGCGAAGGCGGCCUGCUGGGCUUUUACUGACGCUGAGGCUCGAAAGUGUGGGGAGCAAACAGGAUUAGAUACCCCGGUACUG
rnacentral:rRNA from 1 species